CAGCAGCCGCGGGAAUACGAAGGGGGCUAGCGUUGCUCGGAAUGACUGGGCGUAAAGGGCGCGUAGGCGGUUCGUACAGUCGGAUGUGAAAUUCCUGGGCUUAACCUGGGGACUGCAUUCGAUACGUGCGGGCUUGAGUGUGGAAGAGGGUUGUGGAAUUCCCAGUGUAGAGGUGAAAUUCGUAGAUAUUGGAAGGAACACCUGUGGCGAAAGCGGCUCACUGGACCAUUUCUGACGCUGAUGCACGAAAGCUAGGGGAGCAAACAGGAUUAGAUACCCGAGUAGUCCCUGUCUCUUAUAC
rnacentral:rRNA from 1 species